CACCUGCCCUGCGGCAGCCCACUCCCAGACGUCUGCGAACUGUGGUCAUCCAUCCCAGGUUCAGAUUCCCGGGACUCAAGCUCUAGAGAUGCUGUUGGCCAUUCAGUCAUGGGUGUUCAAGUGGCUACAUUUUGAGAAACACUUACACAGAGAAGAGUCCAGGGCUCUGUGACCAGGAAGUUGUCUGCUCUCCACG